ACCUUCCCUUUGUUUUAUUUUAAACAUAAAUAUCCGGAGGAGAAUGGCACCUACGCUGAAAUUCACACAAAUUCUUCCUGUGAAGAAAUCCUGAACGAGCGUCAAAGGUUCAGAUGAAGGCAAUCUACGCUUCCAAGACUCAUGUAUGAACUACUUCUAGAUUCCGUGUAAAUUUGAGUUUUUUUUUUUCAAAUCUCAAUUUAGGACUUGGACUAAAAAUGCAGCAAAAGAAAAUAA